CCACAAAUUGGAAACUUGAUGAAGAUGAAAUUCAAUUCCCAAGGAAACCUGGCUGUCUGAAGUAGAGAGAGAAAUUCUUUCUGAUUGCUGAAAUCCUCAUUUCUCCCUUUAAGACCUCCAACUGAUUAGAUAAGAAGACCCUUCUCAUUGCUGAAGGCAAUGUCCUCUGUUGAUGGUAGCUGUAAUCAGCCAUAGGUUCAGUCAACUGGUUAAUGAUGUAGAUGCAUCAAUGAAACACCUCACAGUAACAAUCAGGCCAGUGCUUACUUGGCUAAACAACUAGACACCAUAAUCUAUCCAAGUUGAUACAUGAAAUUAACUAUCACAACUUAUUUUGUUAUUUUUUAGCAGCACAUUUAAGAGACUCACUUUUUAAUUAUGGAACAUUUAGUAUUAAUAAUACAAUAAUUCCACACUUUUGGCCAUCAUUUCUUAUGAAAUGAAAUGGUAUUCUGAAACUAAUAGUGCUUAUUGAUUGAAGGUGGUAUACAAAUUGGGUAGUUAGAAGGGAAAAUUUGAGACAGACUUUUCACUGUACCUUUGUAGAUCUACCAUUUACUAAUUAUAUCUAUUGAAUAUUAACAACUCAAAUGUUUAAAAAUUAUCUUUUUUAAAGAUGAGGUGAUCAAAUUCUCUAUGUACAAUCAUUUUCUGUGUGAGAUUAAAAUAUAUAUACAAUAUAAUUUUAAAAAGAAAGAAAUAUACAAGAGCAUUUAUAAUUUUAAGUAUCAUGAUUUAAAAAGUUAAAUAACUAACUCAUUUACACCAAUCUAAAACCUACCUAACAUAUUCUAUUAAGACAGCUCAAUUUCUAAAAUGUGUUUUUUUGUCUAAAGAAAAUAAUUUCUUAACUAUUUUCUAUUAGCUGACACAAAUAUGUAUUACCCUUUCAUGGACAUACCAACAAAACAACAAGUCUUUUCAAGUAACCUGGCAGCAUUUGAUUUAUGGGUAUAAAACUUCAGAGAGCAAUGAUUUCAAGCAAAUACAAAAACAUGUUUAUGGAACUCUGGUUUUCUAAAAUACAGAUUACUGGAUAGAAGAGAUGGAGAUGUAAAAUCAAGAUUCCUGAAAGUGGUUGGAGAAAACUAGACCCCAGGACAACUUUCUACAUUGUUUCCUUGUACUUAUAAUUCUCUUGAGUUAUUCUACCUCCUCACUCUCCAGAGAUCCAAGGUUCAAAGAACUGGGCAUUAGGAGCAAGCAACUUACUGGAGAAAGAAUAAUGAACGUUUGCAUAAAACUUAGAAGAUGGACACUAUCCAGUAAUUUUGGCCCAAUGGCCCGCUGAUGCCAUAGCUCAGAACACUGAAACAGAAGAUGGGUGCCAAUACCCAAAGGAGCAGAGAUGGUAUAGAAGGAAAAACCUAAAUAUCCAGAUGUGGCCUCUCUCUCUAAGCCAACUUGGCAGGGUAUGUGACUAUACCUCAAUAAAAUUGCAGGAAAAAAAAGAACUUAAGCAUCGGCAUCUGAGGUUAAACUAAACAGCUAACUAUAAAACACAAAAUCCUUUGCAAAAAUGAGAGAUUUGUAUAAGAAGUCUCAUGAGCCCUGGAGCUCGGAUGGUUAAGUGGAACGAUGAGCAAGAAGAGAGAGGGCAGAAUAGCAAUGAAAUGCAGCAGGAUUGAGUGAAAAAAAUUUAAAUCCAUGGAUCCUGGAAAAAUUAUUUGGAAAAUCAAACUUUGGAUUAUCUAUAUUCCUCUUAACUGUUUUACCUCAAGUACCAUGUGUAAGAAAACACGCAGAAUGAAGAUUGCUUAUUUUAAACAUAGAACAUUUUGUGAUCAUGCUGUCAGAAAAAUGUGGAUUUUUACCUUACUUAACAUCAGCUGUGGGCAGCAUUUGGUGAAAGGUAAAAAGGCUACAACAACUUAAACAUGAUCACUUUCCUGAAGAGCUCAGAGAUCUCCAGGCAUUGGAAACAUAGCUUCUCAGACGACACUCUCCUUACUUAACUGUCCUCUUUUACAGUGAGGAGAAAUUUGCACUCCUCUAGCCACCCUAGUUGGUAUCCUUCUUGAAUUGUUCCAACUGGGAUAACAGUAAACAGGAGAGCUGUGGAAUUUUUGGAAGGCGGAAAGGGAACAGUUCAAUGGCAAGUGACUUAAGAGAGACGUAAAAGGUAACAUCUAAUUGUGUGUACAGGAGGGGUAAGUACUUCAGUACCUGGAAAGACAGUUACUUGGGAAUGAGGUGGGAAGUUGUAGAAAACAGGAAGGACACAAGGUCUAUUAGAAUAGCCCGUUCUCCACCAAACAAUUAGGCAAAGUGCACUCCCCAAGGCCAAAAAAUACUCGAGGAUGAAACGGUUGUUGCAGACCAGGGUAGACCGGGAAUAGCAGAAAGUGAGAGGGGAGUAUCUGAAAAUAGGGGACUUGUGAAAGGCUACAUAUGCAAGUUAAUCUAUAAAGGUCUCCUUUUCUGUUAAGCCUCUAGAAUAUGGACUAAAAGGUAAGAUAUUAGAAGAUACAAAUCUGUAGAAACUGACUGAUCCAAGAAACAAGAACUAAAACUAGUGGCAUUUGGGGAGGGGGUGGCAGUAAUGACAAAGAAACAAUCAGCUUCUCUCCAUAUCACCUAUAGUAAAGUCCAGAGGCAACAAACCUCAUCAAUUCUUAAGGAGUUUCCGUUUAAUUAUAGGUGACUCAGUCUUAAAUGAAUGGGGAAAAAAAGACCUGCACCAAGGUUCAUUAUCAUGAAAUUGGAGGAAUGGAGAUAAAGUUUUUCGUGAACUAGAACAAAGUCUCAUACAAGUGAUCAUGGCUUCUCAAUAACAACAUAAGGAAAUAACAGACAAUGGAACAAUGCUUUCCAAAUUCUAAGAGGAAAUUAUUUUCCAACUAAGAAUUUUAUAUCCAACCAAACUUUCAGUUACAUGGAAAAGCAGAAUAACAAUGUUUUCAGACAUACACAAGCUCAAAAUUUCUCCACAUAAAAACUAUCUUUCAAGGAGCAUCUGAAAGAUGUGCUCCACCAAUAUGAUGGAAUAAAUAAGUUCAGGGAAGAGGAGACCCAAAUAAGAAAAAGUGAAGAGCACUCCAAAGAUGAUAAAAUAACGAUGACUGGACAUCCCUACUCAUCAGAGACAGGGAUAGUGAUGAAACUUUGAGAGCUCUGAGUCCAGAAUGAAGCAGAAG